UACGUAGGUGGCAAGCGUUGUCCGGAAUUAUUGGGCGUAAAGCGCGCGCAGGCGGUCUCUUAAGUCUGAUGUGAAAGCCCACGGCUCAACCGUGGAGGGUCAUUGGAAACUGGGAGGCUUGAGUGCAGAAGAGAAGAGCGGAAUUCCACGUGUAGCGGUGAAAUGCGUAGAGAUGUGGAGGAACACCAGUGGCGAAGGCGGCUCUUUGGUCUGUAACUGACGCUGAGGCGCGAAAGCGUGGGGAGCGAACAGG
rnacentral:rRNA from 1 species